GAUGAACGCUGGCGGCGUGCCUAAUACAUGCAAGUCGAACGAAAAGACGAGGCGCUUGCUCCUCUGACGUUAGCGGCGGACGGGUGAGUAACACGUGGAUAACCUCCCUAUAUGACUGGUAUAACUUCGGGAAACCGGAGCUAAUCCCGUAUAAUCUCUUGAACCGCAUGGUUCAUUAGAGAAAGACGGUUUUGCUGUCACUUAUAGAUGGUUCCGGGCCGCAUUAGCUGGUUGUGAAGGUAACGGCUUACCACGGGAACGCUGCGUAGCCGACCUGAGAGGGUGAUCGCCCACCCGGGAGCUGAGACAGCGACAAGAGGCCUGAGAGAGGCAGCAGUAGGGAAUCGUCCGCAAUGGGCGAAAGUCUGACGGAGCAACGCGGAGCGAGAGAUAAAGGUGUUCGGAUCGUAAAGAUCUGUUAUUAGUGAAAAACAACUGUCGACGUAAAUAAGCACGGAGUGACGGUACCGGAUAAGAAAGCCCCGGCUAACUACGUG
rnacentral:rRNA from 1 species